rnacentral:rRNA from 1 species
CUGGUUGAUCCUGCCAGUAGUCAUAUGCUUGUCUUAAGGAUUAAGCCAUGCAUGUCUCAGUACAAACGAUUUUGUACAGUGAAACUGCGAAUGGCUCAUUACAACAGUUAUAGUUUAUUUGAUCGUGCGGUACUACGUGGAUAACCGUAGGAAAUCUAGAGCUAAUACAUGCACCAUCGCUUCCAUGAAAAUUUAGUUUUUGUGGAGGCGGGAUUUAUUAGAUCAAAAACCGAUCGCUUUAUUAAGCGUGGCGGGAUGAAUCACAAUAACUUUUCCGAAUCGCAUGGCUUGCGAAUUGGCCGGCGAUAAAUCAUUCAAAUUUCUGCCCUAUCAACUUUCGAUGGUAGGGUAGUGGCCUACCAUGGUGUUGACGGGUAACGGAGAAUUAGGGUUCGAUUCCGGAGAGGGAGCCUGAGAAAUGGCCACCACAUCCAAGGAAGGCAGCAGGCGCGCAAAUUACCCAAUCCUGAUUCAGGGAGGUAGCGACAAGAAAUAACGAUAGUAGGCUUUAAAAGUCUAUUUAUUGGAAUGAGGACAAUUUACACCCCUUCACAAGGAUCCAUUGGAGGGCAAGUCUGGU